rnacentral:sRNA from 1 species
AACCAUCGUUCGCAACUCGGCCAUGUCC